GAAGAAGAGUGGUAUCUGUGUGACACAAACCCUUGUUGUUACAUGAGUUACCUGCUGUUACACAAGACUUUCAGAAAUGACAGCAACAUUUUUAACUUACCAGAGUAUCUGCUUGGAAUCCCUGAAGAGAUGGAUGGUCAUGUGCUCACUCCCAGAUAAGGUGUACAGUUGUGAAUUUUGUUAUUAGAGCCAGUCCAUCCUGCAGUGAGGCAAUAGUAGACUUCAACCAAGCUCAAUACAGCUACAAUUUCACAAAAAUGUUUGAAAAACCAGAUGUUUAUUUGAAAUCAGCUGGUGAUUAAAUGGUAUAUGUUGUGGUUGGG